UACAGAGGGUGCGAGCGUUGUCCGGAAUCACUGGGCGUAAAGCGCGCGCAGGCGGCUAUCCAAGUCAGUGGUGAAAGCCCGGAGCUCAACUCCGGAACUGCCAUUGAAACUGUUUAGCUUGAGGACGAGAGAGGUGAGUGGAAUUCCCAGUGUAGAGGUGAAAAUUCGUAGAUAUUGGGAAGAACACCGGUGGCGAAGGCGGCUCACUGGCUCGUAUCUGACGCUCAGGCGCGACAGCGUGGGGAUCAAACAGG
rnacentral:rRNA from 1 species